UGCAGUUUUGGGUGCGGUGUA
rnacentral:siRNA from 1 species